CGAAUGUUGAAGCUCCGAUACUUGGCAGUGAAAUCAAUUUAGAGAAUGCAUUACCAUGUAGAAUUGCAUUUGAGAAAGGGAAAGAACGUCACUUUUGCCUCCUAGCAAUAUCUAGUGGGAUAUCUGGUUGGGUUGUCCUAGCAGAAGAGUUGCCCCUCAAGCAGCACUACGGAGUAGUUCAUGUCACGGCACCCUUGGCCGGUUCUGAUCCCAAG
rnacentral:misc_RNA from 1 species